UACGUAGGGGGCAAGCGUUGUCCGGAAUCAUUGGGCGUAAAGAGCGUGUAGGCGGCUCGAUAAGUCUGCUGUGAAAGUCCAGGGCUCAACCCUGGAAGGCCGGUGGAAACUGUCGGGCUAGAGUCCGGAAGAGGCGAGUGGAAUUCCCGGUGUAGCGGUGAAAUGCGCAGAUAUCGGGAGGAACACCAAUGGCGAAGGCAGCUCGCUGGGACGGUACUGACGCUGAGACGCGAAAGCUAGGGGAGCAAACAGG
rnacentral:rRNA from 1 species